AUAUGUAUGUGUGUGUGCAUAUGUAUGUAUUUGUGUAUAUAUAUGUGUUUACUGUCAUAUUUUGUGAAAUACAAAACUAUCCUCUUGAGUUACCAUAGAAAAAAAGAACUCGAGAAAUUUACCCCUUUUAAAAAGCCCAAGGUUCCAUAGUUUCUGCAGUGUUGCAGUAAGACUGUAAAUGUAUCGUUAAUAACUUUCCUAGUAAAGACUAAUACCAAAUCCUACCAGUCGGAUUUUAGACUGGUGGGUUGGUAGGAUCAGCAGAGUGACAAAAUGCCUUGUACUUAGUUGUGUACCUUUGUGCUUUGAGUUCAAAUCCCACCAAUGUUGACUUUGCCAUUCAUCUUUCCAUGGUUGAUAAAAUAAAUAACCUUUUAAUAACGAGUUGUAUUAAAUCAUGUAUAUUCAUCCUCUAUAUAUGAGGGGCCUGGUGCCUAUGUAAGAAAUCAUCAUAUAGAAAUAGGUGUCCUGCUAGCAGUGACAUAAUAAAUCGCAUAAUGGUGUUGUCUCAUGAACUUUAUCUCUUCUGCCAUUUUGUUCAAAUUUCAUUUUAUUUUUUUGUUUUUUCACAUUUACUCAAAUUUAAGUCAAACGAAUUCCUACACCAUUGUUUCCAUCUACUAAUCACCAGUUACUCCAUUAAAUGUACUGUUGUUUAGCCUUCAGAUCAAACCUGAUUAAGCACACCUAUAACAAAAGGCUAUUACUGUCUCAUUGUUUGUUUUCAGAGAUCUAGGACUGCCUUGUUCAAUGUGUCUUUUUUUAAAAAAAUGUUUGGGAUGUUAUUUGAGGGAUAUUUAGUUGCCACUUCUUGCAGGUCAAGUGACUGCAUUAUGGCUCCCUCAGUGUUGCACUGUAUAGCUUGGGUAAGGUGGGAAUAUGGAACUCCUGGUGAAUGUACCUUUUUUUUUUUUCUUCUUUCUGGUUGUUUAGAAGCCAUAAUUUUUGCCAGAAUUGUCUUCUUGAGUAAUAAUACUUGGCCAGUAUAAGUCCAUUGAUUAGACGAAGAGAGGAAACAAUUUCAUUAUAACCUCUUUCUGAUUUCUGAACACUGCCACCAGUUCUCCAGUUAUUAAACUGAGUGAAGAAUAAUUACCUGCCCUAUUAUGGGCUGGUGUAAUGGAAAGUUGCAUUGUUCAUUCAUAUUCCACUAUCUGAAUAAUACUUCCAGGUAACCCAUGAUCAGACUAGAUGAAGAUGUGUGCUAGGUAAACUGUUGCAAAACAUGUUAUACUAAUGAUAUGGAGGGUUAGGAGGAUUUAAACCACACACAAAACACACACAUAUAUAUAUAUAUAUAUAUAUAUAUAUUUGUGGUUUAAUAAGGCAACCAAUGGUUUCACGUGAAGAGAUCUUCACAAUUGUUCAAGCAUUUUACAUGAAAGUAUUGGUACUUAUCUCCAUUUUGGUUGAGAAUUCUCAACCAAAAUGGAGAUGAGAACCUAUACUUUCAUGUGGCAUGCUUAAACAAUUGUGAAGAAUUGUGAAGAUAUCUUCACGUGAAACCAUUGGUCGCCUUGUUAACUCACAAGUAAACAAUAUUUAUCCACCAAUGCAGUGUUGGGCACUCAUUUUCACUGUUCAACAUCAGCAUAUAUAUAUAUAUACAUAUAUAUAUAUAUAUAUAUAUAUAUGUAUGUAUAUAUAUAUACAAACACACACAUGCACUCAGUCAACAUGAAAAGCAAAUGAACACAAGCACUAGACAAUACUCCCACCAAUAAUUACAAGAAUUAAAAAUACAACAAUUCACAUGAAAAUAACCAAAACAAUGAAGAAACCAACCAAACAGUACCCAGUCAAUAAAUCUGAAGCACAAACUAAUGAAAAACAUGCACUAAACCACAUGCAUACAGUGCAAUGGAUAUAAAUUCACCAUCAGUACCAAGUUGUAUCUGUUCCUGCCUGAAAGUUGCAGUGACUUGAAACUUGAGUCAUGAGAUAAACUUUCAGUUUUACUAACCCCACCACAAACACACACAUCCUCUUCAACUUGAUCACUCCUCUCUCAUUCAUCUGGCAUAAAUCAACUUAUGUAUAUUGUGUGUGUGUGUGUUACCUCAGGAGGUACACCUGAAUUGGCAGAGAGUAAAUGACAAAAGUCUCCAUUCUUAACCAGUCAUAAAAGUAAAACCAUGUAUGCCAGAGCCUUUCCACCUUACAUGGGAGCUGCUGUACACAGUUUUCUUUCACUAAAAAUCAGACGAUAAUUAUUAUGUACUUUAUAUUUUUUUUUAAAGAAAAACAUUGAUCUUGGUAUUGACUUUAAAUAGAACAUAUUCAGGCUUAUAUGUGAUAAUAAAUGUACAUGGUCAACAAAAUUGAUAAUAUUUAGUUUUAAUCUGUAAAUAUUCUGACCUAAAGCACUGCUAUAUAUGUGUCUAUAUCUAUUUAUCGGUGUAUAUAUAUACAUAUAUAUAUCAUCAUCAUCAUCAUAUAUAUAUAUAUAUGUAUUUUAUGCCUUUGUGCAUGUGUGUGUGCUUGUGAUGCUUUUUUUUAAUCCUUCACCGUUUUGUUUCAUAUUUUAGUUUUAUUUUUAUUUUUCCCCAUUUAUCCCAUUUAUUAGAGGUUUCUGGGUAUUUUUUUUUGUUUUUUUUGUUUUGUUUUUUUCUUGAGAUUUCUAUUGAAAAUGUCUUAAUAUUCCACUGAUUAUCUGUGAUUGACAAUUUACAUAACAGAAAAAAAUUUACUCAAAUAUAUUUUUUUAAUUUUAAUUUUUUUUUUUUAUUUCAUUUUCCAAUCUGUGUUCAUUAUGAAAAUAUCAGGUUGUUGUAUGUAAAAUGUUUAGUGCAAUAUAAAUAUGAAAGUGAUGCAGGGAGUAUGGAUGUUAGCUCUUUCUUUCUCACACACUCACAUAUCUCUUAACUAGGCACUGUUAAUUUUAUGUUUUACUAGCAGUAUCGCCUGGCGUUGCUUGGGUUUGUAAGGAAAAUAACUAUAUAAGCAUUUUUAGAGAUGUAAAGUAUAAUAACCAUCUCAAUAUGACUAACCACAAAGGGGAGUGUUACUGUAGCUUUUUACGUUCUGAGAUUUAAUAAUACAUUUUUAGAGAGUUACUUCCCUUAUAUAAUAGCAAAAAAAAUGCAUUAAAAAUGGGGAAAAAUGAUGGUAAAUUUUUUUUUAAAUCGUAGACUCAUCGUAGACACGUGCUAAUACCCAGAAGGGCUCGAUAUGAAUCACGACUAUAAGAUACCCACUUUUGGUUACACUGCACCACAAAAUGUGGGAGUAGUUAGGAAUCUAAAUCGUAGGAGACAGACACACAACUUCACUUUUAUAUAUAAAGAUUUCAGUGCUUUAUUCAAGCAUUCAAGUCAGUUAAACUACACACACACACUCACACAAACAUUCACCUUCUAGUAUAUUAUUGUUAUUUAACUUAUCAAACCUCUGUGAACGAAAGGUUAAGACAAUUUUUGGUGUGAUUUGAACUCUGGAAGAGAAGUAUGGCAUUUCAAAUAUAACGACCUGAUAUUUCUUGAUUAGUCUACUUUUGACUUGGUUCAGCAAACAUAUAUAUACAUCCAUACAUAUAUAUACACACACAUGCAUAUGCAUAUAUAUAUAUAUAUGAACAAUUGAAGUUCAUUUGGCUAUUUGAUAAAAUAAAAAAAAAGUGGAUGAUUUAAUUGAUAAAGCAAUAAAAUAUUAAAACAUA
rnacentral:lncRNA from 1 species